rnacentral:rRNA from 1 species
AUACAGAGGGUGCGAGCGUUAAUCGGAAUUACUGGGCGUAAAGCGCGCGUAGGCGGCUGAUUAAGUCAGAUGUGAAAUCCCAGGGCUCAACCUUGGAACUGCAUCUGAUACUGGUCAACUAGAGUUUAGGAGAGGGAAGUAGAAUUUCAGGUGUAGCGGUGAAAUGCAUAGAUAUCUGAAGGAAUACCAGUGGCGAAGGCGGCUUCCUGGCCAAAAACUGACGCUGAGGUGCGAAAGCGUGGGUAGCAAACGGGAUUAGAAACCCGUGUAGUCC